UCCCUGGUGGCUCAGUGGUAAAGAAUCUGCCUACAAUGCAGAAGACCCAGAUUCAAUCUCUAAGUCAGGAAG
rnacentral:tRNA from 1 species